GAGCAAAUGUCGGGUCUUAAAAUAAACUUCCAUAAAAGUGAACUUUUCUGCUUUGGAGAAGCCACUCAGGCGGCGGCCGAAUAUGCUGACCUGUUUGGUUGCGCACAUGGCCAAUUCCCGAAUAAAUAUUUGGGAAUACCGAUUCAUUAUCGGCGUCUCACCAUUGCGGAGUGGAAGCAUGUAGAGGAGCGGUUAGAGAAACGAUUGAGUAGUUGGAAAGGCAAAUUGCUCUCAGUUGGAGGACGGCUGGUUUUGAUUAACUCUGUCCUCACAAAUAUGGUUCUCUAUAUGCUUUCUUUCUUCCAACUCCCAAAAGGGGUCUUGCAAAGACUGUACUAUUUUAGAUCCAGAUUCUUUUGGCAAGGAGAUGGUGAAAAUAAAAAAUAUAGACUG
rnacentral:rRNA from 1 species